rnacentral:rRNA from 1 species
CCCUUAGAUGUUCUGGGCCGCACGCGUGCUACACUGAGUGGAUCAGCGGGUCAGGUUGCGCGAAAGUGUUUCCUAAUCUUUAAAUCCGCUCGUGAUGGGGAUUGACGGUUGCAAUUUUCCGUCAUGAACGAGGAAUACCUUGUAAGCGCGGGUCAUCAUCCCGCGCUGAAUACGUCCCUGCCCUUUGUACACACCGCCCGUCGCUCCUACCGAUUGAGUGGUCCGGUGAGGCUUUGGGAUCUGGGCGGAAAGAGCGUUUCGCUGUUUCUGCCCGGAAAACUCAGUCGAACCUUAUCAUUUAGAGGAAGGAGAAGUCGUAACA